AAUGCUUUUCUUCAUGGCACAAUCCAUGAAAAUGUCUAUAUGGUCCAGCCGCCUGGUUUUGUUGACUCUAAUCAUCCAUCUCAUUUGUGUAAAUUGAGGAAAUCCCUCUAUGGCCUCAAACAGGCUCCCCUAGCGUGGCAACAAUUCCUUACUUGUGGUGAAGUUCAUCCGACUCUUAGCCACUCGGUUAUCUGUCAAGGACUUGGGCUCAUUACAUUACUUUCUUGGUGUUGAGGUCCUUCCCACAACCACUGGUCUAUUCCUUUCUCAGCAAAAGUACAUUCAUGAUCUUCUCGUCAAUGCCAAGAUGGAUGGUGCAAAGGCUGUCAGUACGCCCCUCUCCACCACUGACUCACUUAUGCUCCAUGAUGGCUCUUCCCCAAUGGAUGCAACUCCCUGCCAUCGUCUUGUUGGUGGUCUUCAAUACCUAAGCCUUACACGCCCUGACAUCUCCUUCACAGUCAACAAGCUCUCUCAAUUCAUGCAUUCUCCUUUCGAGACUCAUUGGCAGGCACUCAAGCGUCUUCUUCGCUACGUGAAAGGUACCAUCUCCUUUGGCCUUCAUCUUUGUCGCCGCCCCUCUCAUCGUCUUUAUGCCUUUUCGGAUGCUGACUGGGCUGGUGAUCGUGAUGAUCGCAAGUCUACGACUGGCUAUAUUGUCUACCUCGGUGGAAACCUGAUCUCUUGGAGCUCCCGUAAGUAGCAGUCCAUCUCUCGUUCCUCCACCGAAGCCGAAUACCGGCCUACUGUUGCCACCACUGCUGAACUCACAUGGAUUCAACCCUUACUACGUGAACAUGGCAUUCCUCUCCCCACAACACCAAUUGUCUCCUGUGAUAACAUUGAAGCCAUGUUCUAUUGUGCUAAUCUUGUCCUACAUUUCCGUAUGAAACAUAUCGAUAUUGAUUUUCAGUUUGUACGGGAUCAUGUCACUCGUGGUCUUUUUCAAGUGUCUAAUGUCUCCACUAUAGAUCAGCUUGUUGAUGCUCUCACCAAACCCUUGCCGCAUCCCCAUUUCCAUCUCCUUCAUUCUAAGAU